rnacentral:rRNA from 1 species
UACGAAGGGGGCUAGCGUUGUUCGGAUUUACUGGGCGUAAAGCGCACGUAGGCGGAUUUUUAAGUCAGGGGUGAAAUCCCGGGGCUCAACCCCGGAACUGCCUUUGAUACUGGAAGUCUUGAGUGUGGAAGAGGUGGGUGGAAUUCCGAGUGUAGAGGUGAAAUUCGUAGAUAUUCGGAGGAACACCAGUGGCGAAGGCGGCUCACUGGUCCAUUACUGACGCUGAGGUGCGAAAGCGUGGGGAGCAAAC